rnacentral:rRNA from 1 species
GACGAACGCUGGCGGCGUGCUUAACACAUGCAAGUCGAACGGAAAGGCCCUGCUUUUGUGGGGUGCUCGAGUGGCGAACGGGUGAGUAACACGUGAGUAACCUGCCUUUGACUUUGGGAUAACUUCAAGAAACUGGGGCUAAUACCGGAUAGGAGAUCCUGCUGCAUGGUGGGGGAUGGAAAGUUUCGGCGGUGGGGGAUGGACUCGCGGCUUAUCAGCUUGUUGGUGGGGUAGUGGCUUACCAAGGCUUUGACGGGUAGCCGGCCUGAGAGGGUGACCGGCCACAUUGGCACUGAGAUACGGCCCGGACUCCUACGGGAGGCAGCAGUGUGGAAUAUUGCACGAUGGGCGGAAGCCUGAUGCAGCAACGCCGCGUUCGGGAUGACGGCCUUCUUGUUGUCAACCGCUUUCGCCUGUGACGAAGCGUGAGUGACGGUACUGGGUAAAGAAGCACCGGCUAACUACGUG